GCAGCUAAUUGGGUUAGAUCAAAAAUCAUAUAUCGAAAGCUUAAUUUCCAAUGUAGUCAGGAUUCAGGAAUGAAAAGAUAAAUAACAAUUGAAAUUUAUACUUCAGAAAUUCUGGCUAGGAAUUUAUGCAUUUUCUUUUCAACAGGUCAACUGGACCAAUCACCAUAUUUGCAUCAGUCUUGUAUAUGAUUCUCAAACAAAAAUAUGUUGGGAAAUCUACAAGCAACCCCUAUGUGGUUUACCCCAUUUAACAAAUGAAUUGUGGUCUGUUAGUCGUUGUGGUCUCCUCGGGUAGUCAAAUCUGGUUGGACCGAAAAUAUAUUCCUUUCUUAUACCUGAACACGUAUCACUGGCAACCUCCAAAAAGAAGUACUUCCUCAUCAGUCGUGACCAUACUACUCUUUCUCCCCAAGUUUUCCUCUCUCAGAAUUCAAGAGCCAAAUCACGCAAGGAACGUAUAGAAGUCUAAAUUUCUUCUUGUUCCCUUAUCAACCCACUCAUACUCUGAAAGUCUGAAUGGUCAAGAGGGGAACCCUCACAAGAAGAAAUGUUUUACCACAAUCUCAACGCAAUUGGAAAUGAAGAAAAACAAUCAAUGUCUUCAGCUGCCUCUCUACAUGUGAUACACCAAGUUUUUUUCGAGCUUUAGAGUCGAGUAUAGCUAAGAGGUCGCACUUGGUGCGAUGGCAAGUGCCUUCGCCCAUGAGCGGUAGGUCUCGGGUUCGAGACUUGGGAGCAGCCUCUCCAUAAAUGGGGGUAAGGCUAGCCGACAUUCACCUCUCCCAGACCCUGCGUAAAGCGGGAGCCUUGUGCACUGGGUACGACCUUUUUAGAGUCGAGUAUAGCUAAGAUGGUAUGAGCCUAAUAUUUUGUUUGAGCUCAGCUCAUUUCUUUUACAAUCUGAGUUCAAACAAGACGAGUCAAUCUCAAAUUGUAUCGACCCAAUUUACAACCUACACUAAUUAACAAUAUUUCCACAAAACAAGAAGUAAAAAAAUAUACAACCACAGCAAUUUUGAGAUUUUGAGCAGGCAGCAUUGGAUUUUUUUUUUUGAACGAAUGAUAUUUUAUUCACGUGGGUUGGACUAAUCCUCACAAUGAGCUAGCAAUAAUGUGGUUCAAAUUCGUGUUGGACAAGAAUCGAGGUAAGACCUCUCACAAAAUCAUUAAACGAAUUUUACAAGUUGUCAAAGGAUUAACAAAUUUUACAAGUUACUCGAAAUUAAUGAGAAGCUGAAACAAUAAACUGAAGAAAAAAAAACAAAAAUCCAAAACCCAAAAUUGUAAAGUUAAAACCUCUGAAUUGGAUUUGGGAAAGCAACACAAACAUAAACAUAAAC
rnacentral:lncRNA from 1 species